AAAAUCUUUAGAUUGAGCAUGUCAGUCAUCAAGUAUACGAAAGUUGCUAAUUAUAUUUCUGGCCUUAAAGAAACUAUGUAUCAUAAGUUCCAUCUGUUGUAUCCAGUUGAUAGUGCAAUACAAAAUCUGUAUAACUAAUUCAAGCGAGGGUGGAGUUCACUCCACGACAAAUUUCGUCAAGGUUAUUCAAAAUUGUUUGUUGUGCCAGAAUAUAUCGAUGCUGUGGAUGAGCUAAUAAAACAAGGUUGUCGUGUGACAUACCGUGAUAUGAAGAACAUGGAUUUAUUCAUAUGUGCCUAAACCAAAACAACGUUCACUGUAAGGGUCCUUCAAGAUGAGCCAAAUCCAACAAAAGUUGUUCGUGGGAGAAGCACAUCAAAGCUAAUGGUUACAUGUAUUUUCGGUUAGACAGGUCGCAUCGCUUCAAUUUAGAACAGUUAAUUCUGAAUGGUAUAUGACCAUUUGUCUGCUGGAAGUGUUUCAAGAAAUCUGACAAGAAACCCCAGAAAAAGAGACAAAUCAUUCUUAAUCAUGACAAUGUUAUUGACCAAACUUUGGCUCAAACUUUUUUCAAAUCAAAACAUCGAUUUCGUGGGUUGUUAAGCUUAUUUCUACUUAUUUUUUAUUCCCAUACAUCAAAAAUAAAAUACGUGGUCAGUGGUUCUCAUCACCAAUAAAAGCCACCGAUGCUUUUAAUGUUUUGGAGUUACCUCAAUCAAAAUGGAAAAAAUCCUUCCAAAACUUGUUCCAACGUAUGCAAAAGUGUAUUAAUCUUCAAUUGAGGAUAUUUUGAAAAGCAAUAAAGCCAAUUUCGCUAUUAAA
rnacentral:lncRNA from 1 species